rnacentral:rRNA from 1 species
UACGGGGGGAGCAAGCGUUGUUCGGAUUUACUGGGCGUAAAGGGCGCGUAGGCGGUCAGCACAAGUCAGUUGUGAAAUCUCCGGGCUUAACUCGGAAAGGUCAACUGAUACUGUGCGACUAGAGUGCGGAAGGGGCAACUGGAAUUCUCGGUGUAGCGGUGAAAUGCGCAGAUAUCAGGAGGAACACCGGUGGCGAAGGCGGUUCUCUGGGCCUUACCUGACGCUGAGGAGCGAAAGCAUGGGGAGCAAACAGG